rnacentral:lncRNA from 1 species
GAUAGGCAGGACUAGGUGAGAAGGAGGAUGCUGGGAAAUGUAGUAAGAGAUGAAGUCACCAUGUGAUCGCCAGGAAGAAAGGAUGCACAUGUCCAGUGUCCUCCAUAAGAUAAGUCUUUAUAAAAUGUAUAGAUUAAUGGUUAUGUUUGAUACUUAAGACAGAAAUAGCAUAUAAGAAAUCCUAGUCAUUGGCCAGCAGCAUUGUACCUAAUAUAAGUCUCUGUGUGUUAUUUUGGGGCCCUAACAUGGCGGCGGGCGGAACUCAGGAGGCUGGCGGAAAGAGUUAUCGUUACAAAAUGGCGCCCACGUAGUUUUAUGAACUUCCACAUUAAAACUUGACAAAAUCUUAAAAGGGGAUUUUAGAAGCAAAAGAACAGAGACAAGCAUGACUUCUUGGUAGCAGCAUUUUCUCUGGUGGUCUCUAUUUUGCUAGAGACAAACGAGAAUAGAGUGGCUCCCUUAAGGGGGGUUUUCUGACUCAGCAUAAGCAGAAAAAACCACAGGGCUCUUUAAGAGGCCCUGCUCACAAUUGAAUAGUGGUGUACGAGCAGCUGGCAAUGGCAGUGACUGCAGAAUGCUACUUGAUGGUAGCAUAGACCAAGGCAGUGAGCACAGCACUCAGUCCUGGCGGUAAAUGUACCCCCUCCAUCUUGCAAAGACAGGGGCUUUGUUGUUUAGCAGAUAAAAGACUUCAUGGCCACAAAAAGGGAAAGAUUUACAGUAAAGACAGAUUCAGAUGAAGAAAAACCUCUAAAGGUUUACAAUGUGUUUAAAAAUAUACGUAGGCUUGUGAGAGAAAAAGAAACUGGAUAAAGUGUUUAAAAAAACAAAGAAGAAGAAAUAGAGUAGCUAGGUGUGGUGGCACAUGCCUUUAAUCCCAGCACUCAGGAGGCAGAGGCAAGCAGAUCUCUGUGACUUCAAGGCCAGCCUGGUGUCCAGAGUGAGUUCAAGGGCAGCCAAAGUUCCACAGAGAAACCCUGUCUCAUAAAAGGAAAAAAUAAAAGUAAAAGAAAUAGAGUAAUGAAAAGCCACGUAAAGAUGGAAGAUACACAGAGAGUCUGGAUACUGUAUGCUAUUGUGUUGUCUUCGAAUUGUUUAAUUUCUGGGGAAGGAGCAACAACUGCUAAAAGAUAUUUGAUUAUCAAUGCUGCUGAAUUAAUCCAACUUAUACAUUUUAAAAAUGCUUUGACUUCAAAAUUUAAGUCUAAGGACAGGCUACUUGGGAAAAGAAUUUCUGCUUUUGUUUUCACAGAAAAUGAAAAGCUGUGGAUUCCUUCCAGACUAAUAUGGUUUGAUCAAGCAAGACCCCCUGAAGCAGUGGCCCAACUGAUCCUAAAUCCAAAAGAGCUGAGAUGAUGCAGUCAUAGACCACUACAGCCAGGGUUUCUGUGGUUUAUCAUGAUUCCCAUGGUAUGGACAUCACCCCCAACCAGCAGGAAGCAGUUUGGAAUGAACGAUGCCCAAAUUCCCAAAUACUGUUUAUAAAUGUUGGUUUUCAUUUAAAUGAGGUUGGUUAUAAAUGGUACUGAUCACAGUCAAUCUCUUUUUAAAGGAAGAAAGGGGAAUAGGAUAUAGAAGCGAGUACUUUGCAUUAGUAUGGAUUUUCAUCUAUUGAUGCAAAUUUAAGGUCAAUUUUGUGAUAUGUAUAUGUUUCCUCUUGUUUAGGUAUUGUGUUUAUACUGAUCUUUUAAAAUGUAAUGGAUAAUUAAAUGCAGAUUGUAUAUAGGCAGUAUAAUAGUCAAAAUUUAGAGUUAGGUUAGUUAGGUUUUCUAGAUAUACAGAGAUGUAUUUGAGAUGGAUAGAUAUUCUUCAAACUUUUCAAAGACCUACAGAAUAUAUGGCAUUUAAAUGGUUUAGGAUUUUUCAUGGCAGUGAGACACAACUGCUCCUGGUACACCAAUUAUGUCUGAGAGGAUAGAUGAUAGAAUAUUUUCUUUAAAAUCUUGCUAAAUGUUAAUGGACUAAAUAUCAUAACUAUAGUUCUUACUUGAUAACUGUUUUGUUAUGUAUUUUACUAUGUUAAUGUUAAAAGCCUUCUUUAUAUUUAUACAGAAAAGAGGAGAUGAUGGGGGAGGUCCUUCUGUGUAUAUGUCUCUCUUAUUGGUUAAUAAAUAAAACACUGUUGGCCAAUAGGGAAGCAAGAUAGGCAGGAAUAGGAGGGAAAUGUAGUAAGAGAUGAAGUCACCAUGUGAUCGCCAGGAAGAAAGGAUGCACAUGUCCGGCAUCCUCAAGCUAUAGCUGGGCUCAGAGAUGGAAGAUGACCCGAGAAGAAUGAAGGGGAAAAAUAGAAAGAAAACCAUGAAGGAACUUAAAAACCAUUGGAUGCAUGCUCUGUGAUCAAAGCACUGUGUGUCGGUGGGCAUUGGGGACACAAAGAAAUAAAAUAGCAGCAGAUUUCUACUCUCAAGCAUCUGAGGGGAAAAGCCAGAAG